rnacentral:rRNA from 1 species
GAUGAACGCUAGCUACAGGCUUAACACAUGCAAGUCGAGGGGAAACGACAUCGAAAGCUUGCUUUUGAUGGGCGUCGACCGGCGCACGGGUGAGUAACGCGUAUCCAACCUGCCCACCACUUGGGGAUAACCUUGCGAAAGUAAGACUAAUACCCAAUGAUAUCCCACGAAGACAUCUGAAUGGGAUUAAAGAUUUAUCGGUGAUGGAUGGGGAUGCGUCUGAUUAGCUUGUUGGCGGGGUAACGGCCCACCAAGGCAACGAUCAGUAGGGGUUCUGAGAGGAAGGUCCCCCACAUUGGAACUGAGACACGGUCCAAACUCCUACGGGAGGCAGCAGUGAGGAAUAUUGGUCAAUGGGCGAGAGCCUGAAACAGCCAAGUAGCGUGCAGGAAGACGGCCCUAUGGGUUGUAAACUGCUUUUAUAAGGGAAUAAAGUGGGUCACGUGUGACUUUUUGCAUGUACCUUAUGAAUAAGGACCGGCUAAUUCCGUG